rnacentral:misc_RNA from 1 species
GAAUUCACAAAAUCCAACAAGCCAUCAUUUAUUUUCUCAGCAAUAGCAAAUCCUCAAAAUAAAAACUGCCAUAAGUCAAAAACUCAAAAAUCAGUAGAUCAGCCAUUAUUCUUUAUGCUAUAAAGGUAUUAUUACAAAACCACAGACCCCACCAAAAGUAACUCAAUAAAAUUAAAAAGAAACAUUAAAGAAAAGAAAGGGCAAUACAAAGACAAACAAAAUAAAGCUUACCUCCUCUAGAAAUACUUAGCCCAA